UACAGAGGUCUCAAGCGUUGUCCGGAUUUAUUGGGCGUAAAGAGCUCGUAGGCGGUUGGGCAAGUCACGUGUGAAAUCUCCACGCUCAACGUGGAGGCGCCACGUGAGACUGCCCUGACUCGAGUCCGGUAGGGGAGCGUGGAAUUCCCGGUGUAGCGGUGAAAUGCGCAGAGAUCGGGAGGAACACCCGUAGCGAAGGCGGCGCUCUGGGCCGGUACUGACGCUGAGGAGCGAAAGCGUGGGGAGCAAACAGG
rnacentral:rRNA from 1 species